UACGUAGGAUGCAAGCGUUGUCCGGAAUUAUUGGGCGUAAAGAGCGCGCAGGCGGUAUGACAAGUCAGAUGUGAAAGAGGCCGGCUUAACCGGCAAGGGGUCAUUUUGAAAACUGUCAGACUAGAGUGCAGCAGAGGAUAGUGGAAUUCCCCGGUGUAGUGGUGAAAUGCGUAGAUAUCUGGAGGAACACCGGUGGCGAAGGCGGCAUCCUGGACCGACACUGACGCUGAUGAGCGAAAGCCAGGGGAGCAAACGGG
rnacentral:rRNA from 1 species